UCGAGGGUUCAGCAAGUCACAGAAUGCGGAAGUUCCACUCAUACCGGCACGGUUGCGGCGAAGCUCAACUGAACUGAGAAAAGAACGAAUCAGUUCAUGAAGGGAUUCGGUUCAGUACGUUCACUCAAAAGAUUCGUUCGUUUGAACGAAUCGUUCGUGAACGACACAACACUAGAAGGCGGCCGACAAGAGCAAUUCGAAGGAGAAAGACGUGAGCCAUACGCUAAUAAGUCAGUCUUACUAUUUGUUAUCCAGUUUGAAAUAUUUUCGUCGUAUAAAAUACAUAUUUGAUUCUUGAUUUAAGGAUAAAGUGGUCUCGAUGCGCUAGAAGCACUGUGCCGCUUCUCCUGCUAUCUUUGCUUGUUAGUUAGCUUAGCUCGCUAGUUAGCUUAGCUUGUUAGCUGCUAACAGAAGACACAGAAGUUAUCAACACAUCGCUAAGUAGAGAUCAAGUGUGAGAGUAAAGUGUUGUGAUUGUGUGAAAAUGUCUACAUUACAAAUGUUGAGAGCGUUGGUGGAUCAGCGACUAACUGCUGCUGUUGAAGAAAUAUUUGUAGUGUUAGAAAGAACGAUAGCAGAAUACCAGGCGGAACUUUCUAGAACAAAAGAGGAAAACUAUCAACUACUGGACGCUGUUUUCAAGAAACAUCAAGUUGUGUCACACAGAACAGAUACUCAAAGCGCUCACAGAGAAGUGGGAACCCAUCAUUCAUUCACACAAGGGGGUGGUAAGCUACAUCUGUAGCCACAGCUGCCCUGGGGUAGACUGACGGAAGCGUGGCUGCCAGUUUGCGCCUACGGCCCCUCUGACCACCACCUCCAAUCAUUCAUUCAUCAUUCAUUCAUCGGUGUGAGUGGCACCGGGGGCAAGGGUGAAGUGUCUUGCCCAAGGACACGACGGCAGCGAUUUGGAUGUCAAUAGGUGGGAAGCGAAUCUGCAACCCUCAGGUUUCUGGCACGGCCGCUCUACCCACUACACCAUGCCGCCCCGUAAUAAGCAGGGGGAGCUCAUCACUAGUACUACUGCGUGGAGGCUGGCAUGUGGUACAUUAUUUCCUGUGUGUGUAUGACUUAUUCAGAGGGACAACAGCACACUAGUAUGGAUUGCAGGAAUUAAUUUGAGGAUGUUUUUAUAUGAAUAAGGUGGAUUGGAUGUUAGCCUGGGAAGGCAUUCCCCUGGAGGUCUUCUUCAUGUGUCAGCUGGAAGUACUCUGACUGCUGUGAGGGGAAACUGAUGAGAUUACCUAAAAGAAGCGCAUCUUCCCAAUGAGCAGGAGGAGGAACCACAGUCCCCUAACAUACUUGAGGAAGAAGAGGUACCACACUCCCAACACAUUAAAGAAGGAGGAGAGGAACCACAGCCCCCCCACAUUAAAGAGGAAGACGAGACGCCACAGACCCAUAAUGUUAAACUGACCCUUCACAUUAAGAAGGGAGAGGAGGACCCACUGACCCUCUACUUUAAAGUGGAAGAGGAGGACCAAGAGGCGCCGCACAUUAGAGAGGAAGAGGAGGAAGAGGGCAUCAGUCAGCCUAAAUGGUUGGAGGAGUUCCCAGUGACUGGUGUCCCUGUGAAGAGUGAAGAUGAUGAGGUGAAAGGUGAAAGUGAGGAGAGGGGAGGGGGGGAGCCUCCAAGCAGCAGCUCAACACAACACAUGACAACAGAAGCUGAUGGAGACCACUGUGGAGGAUCACAAGCAGACAAGCUCUUAGCUCCACUAUCAGAUAGUGAGGACACAACGUCACACUCUCCUGACACUGAUGAUGAAGACUCUAAAGAUGAUAAGACAUGUCACACUGACAACACUCGCUUCACAUCUUCUCACUGUCACAAAACUUUUAAAUACCAUUGUCGUCUGAAAGUACACAUGAGAACACACACUGGAGAAAAAACUUUUAUCUGUUCACUCUGUGGUAAAGGUUUUGCACAAAGUUCAAGUUUGGUAAAACACAUGAGAACACACACUGGAGAAAAACCUUUCUCUUGUUCAAUCUGUGGUAAAGGUUUUACACAAAGUCAACAUUUGAAAUCACACAUGAGAACACACACUGGUGAAAAACCUUUUUCCUGUUCAACCUGUGGUAAAGGUUUUACAGAAAGUCAGAGUUUGAAAAGACACAUGAGAACACACACUGGUGAAAAACCUUUUUCCUGUUCAAUCUGUGGUAAAUGUUUUACACAAAGUCUAUAUUUGAAAGUACACAAGAGAACACACACUGGUGAAAAAUCACAUUCCUGUUGAAUAUGCAACAGAAGCUUUUGUGACCGAUCAGACCUUGUAAGACACACGAGAAGACACCCAGGAGAGAAAGUGUUGAGUUGCAGUGUGUGUGGUGAAAGAUUGUCUUCUAAGUACCAGUGUAAGAAACACAAGUGUGCUGGUGAGAACAGCAGCAGCAAAUGAAACUGCAGGAUUUGAAAUAAACUGUCCAGACUUUCAUUUUGACUUUCUAACAACAUCAGCACAUAUAACA